rnacentral:pre_miRNA from 1 species
UUAAAUCAAAUUUUUACGCAGUUGGAACGUUUGCCGCUAGUGGCGCUGUUCCAACUGCAUACAAAUUUUAGUUA